rnacentral:lncRNA from 1 species
CCAGGACCUCGUGCUAAGAGACAGGCCAGACUCCAGGGGCCAACCUUGUGCGAUUCUCAUAUGAGGCACCCAGGGGGUCAGGUUCGCAGGAACAGAAAGCGGGCGCAGGGGCUGGAGGUCAGAAAGGAUGUGAUUAUUUAAUGGGUGCAGCAUGUGGCUGGUUGGUAGAAACGUUCUGAGGACGUGGACGCCCAGGACGGCGGCAGAACAUAACCCUACUGAACUGCACUGAAGAAAUGGUCAAUUGGUAAUUUUUCUGUACGUCUCACAACGAUAAAAAAUUAGGAAUUUCUUAGAAGUUUAAAUAUCAACAACAGGACUUCACGCAGCUUCGGGACACCACUCUCCUGGUGUCUUCCCGGCUCUCCAGUCCCUCCUGGCUGGCUGGCCCGAAGCUGUGGGUCACGCGUGGCUCUGGUCCGCCAAGGACAGCAGGCAGGCGCUGUGCUCCACCUGCCUGUGGUCUGCGUAGGCGCCACACCCCAGUGCCCAUCCUGACCGCUCUUCUCUCCCCACUCAGAAUCGCGACACCCCUCACCCUGCGCCCUCAGCGGGCAGCCCCGGCCCCUGCUGCUUCUGUCCUCAUCCUCCUGCCAAAGGCCCCGCCCACUCCCGCCACACACCACACCCGGGAGGACCCCGGAGGACCCGCAUCCGUCUGCAGACCCUGGAGCCCUCUCCGUGGCUCUGGGGCUCCAUCAGUCGCCUCCCGCACAGAGGACACUAGGAGUCUCCUGCUGCCCGGUCGUCCUAUCCCAUGGGGUGUCCAGCUCCUGGAGGGCAGGGACUGUGGCCUUCACUCAUCAGUGGCACCUACAGGACAGAAUUCCAAGUGUCCUCCUGACUUCUUCCAAUGGCGCUCAAUACCAGAAUCAGGAAAUCUACUGCAUACGUGUACGAAUAUGUGACAGCGAAUCCUAUCAUUGUUUUCUGUAAUGCACCAGGAAGUCAACCGUGGGUACCAUAUCGCUAACUGGACUACAGACUUUAUUCCCCGUCCAUUGUUAAAGUGCAUCUUUGGUUGUGCGUGAACGAGCGUGCUCUCCUGUUGUCUUGUCACUUUAUUGCCUGUGUAAGUUUGUGUAACCACCACCGCAUCAAACCCAGAACCAGGUAGACUCCCAGGAUCGUCUCUCUUCAGUGGGGGGCUUCUUCUCUCAAUGCAUCUCCCUCUCCAGGACUUUCAGGACCGUUCAGGGGGAACACAAACUCGCUGAUACACACAGACACCAGACCCAGAGACCAGACAGGCCACGGCCCCACCCUGGGUCAGCCAGGGAGAGUGCAGGCAGGCAGCCUCCUGAGUCACUGCCUGCCUGGGCCUGGGGCUGGAGGCCAGAGACAAAUUACAAUCAUUAGGGAAUUUAAGAGGCUGGGGGAGGGGCUGAGGAUGACAGGCCCCAGGAUGCAGCCCCCAGGUUGGGCCAGCCUCCUCCCUCCACCUCCCCCAUCCGGGUCUAUGACCGUCUCUGG